UCCGUCCGGGGCCGGCAGCGAGCGCGGGGUUCGGCCGCUCCAAGUUCGGCGGUGCCGUGGCUCGGAGGCGCUUUGGAGGCGUUGAUGGCAUCGCUGGGUUCGGUUUGCAGCGGCUGUCCGCUAAGGGAUACGGUGUUCUUCCUGAGCGGGCACGGUUCUCGGUGCCGGUAGGGAUGAUAAUGGGUGCUCAGAAAGCAUGCGUCCCUUAGAGUCCCACGGAAAGGUUCUCAGUGCGAUCUCUAUCAAGUGCUAUGAGUCUUGAUAAAUUGGAGAAGAGCCCAAGAGAAAUUUUUCAUCCCUUGAUAUAAAAGGGAUCGGUGAAUUUUAACUUUGGAGUCCACUAUGCUAAGGAUGCUCAGCUUACAGGUGAUGAAAUGUUCAGUAAUGUAUUUGCUGCAGCUCUGCUUACCCAAGCUUUGGGUUCCUUCUGUCCCACUGGGAGUUGCCCAGUUUGGUUGCAUCUGGUGAAAUUCACCCUGAGACCUUACAGAACUAGCUCCAACUACGUGAGAGCCAUUUGCAGUUCUCUCCAGACACCUGGAGAAUGGGUGACGUUUCUGAGGAUCCGGCGAGCGUGCUUCUAUCAAAACUCAGUCUGUGAAAUUUCUGGGGAAAACCCUUCUGUGUCCUGAAGGGUUCAAACUCUGGCGAGGAUCCCGUUAUCAGGUGCUCACCUGGAUGGUUCCAGCUCCCAAAGGGAAAGACUCUCGUAUCCUUGUCGUCAGGCUCGGUGCUGUCCAAGAAGAUACGGGGACUAAAAAAAUCAUAAGAAGCAAAAUAUGACUGCAGGGAAAAGAAGCUGGAGAGAACAGAAGACUCAUCACGGCGGGACAGCGUGAGGACUGAAAGUGUAAGAAGAUGUGGAGGGAAAGAGAGAAUCUGACAGGAGCAGCGAACGCAUGAGUGCACGAAUUUUGCUUUUUGCUUGGAUGUAAACUCAGGAGUUGAGAGGAAUUUGGGAGUGAGAAGGGACAUUUCAGAAGGAGAAGAAGAAAAAGAAGUUGUUGCUACAGUCCUGGCAAAAGCUUUUGUUCUAGCUAAUAAAAGAAGUUAGUUUAAAAAACAAAAAGGAAAAAAUGUAGUGUUUUUUUUUUCCUUCACUAUGAUAUUCAUUGGUGGUAUAUGGUGUGUUGUUUUAUUUCUUGGUAUUAUUAACUCUGUGUAAAUUGUUUUUUGAGUGAAGCUGACUUUCUGGAUGGGUUGGUUUGUAUUUGAGGCAGGAUUAAUUUCAGUAGGGUUCUUUCAUAGAUUUCUGAUGGGUAUUACUGGGAUUUUGGUUUUGUUUACUGUAUGUAUGAACCUAGAGCUUUGGUAGGGCCAGCUGGGCUGCUGGAGUUUUGGGUGUGAAUUUAUUAGAUGGCUUUUGUUAGAUGCAGUUUUUAAUUUUUGAAAUGUUUUUCAAUGUAGUGGUUUUAAGGUGGUUUUUAAGAAUUCAUUGUAUUGCUUUAUCUUGUUUGUAGUUGGUGUAUGAUAAGGGAUGUGGUGUGAGUUCUUGAACAUUAUGGUUUUGGUGUUCCUAAGUUCUGAUUUCUUUGUGGUUCAAUAUUUUUUUUUAUUUUUAUUUUUUGGGACAGGGGCAUUUAUAUGGUGGGUUUUUAUAGGCAAUAUGUUUUUUAAUUUAGGUAGUGAUAUUU